AUUGAACGCUGGCGGCAGGCUUAACACAUGCAAGUCGAGCGGGGUGAUGGUGCUUGCACUAUCACUUAGCGGCGGACGGGUGAGUAAUGCUUAGGAAUCUGCCUAUUAGUGGGGGACAACAUCUCGAAAGGGAUGCUAAUACCGCAUACGUCCUACGGGAGAAAGCAGGGGAUCACUUGUGACCUUGCGCUAAUAGAUGAGCCAAAGUCGGGUUAGCUAGUUGGUGGGGUAAAGGCCUACCAAGGCGACGAUCUGUAGCGGGUCUGAGAGGAUGAUCCGCCACACUGGGACUGAGACACGGCCCAGACUCCUACGGGAGGCAGCAGUGGGGAAUAUUGGACAAUGGGGGGAACCCUGAUCCAGCCAUGCCGCGUGUGUGAAGAAGGCCUUAUGGUUGUAAAGCACUUUAAGCGAGGAGGAGGCUCUUUUGGUUAAUACCCAAGAUGAGUGGACGUUACUCGCAGAAUAAGCACCGGCUACUCUGUGCCAGCCGCCGCGGUAA
rnacentral:rRNA from 1 species